GGUUAAGCGACUAAGCGUACACGGUGGAUGCCUUGGCAGUCAGAGGCGAUGAAGGACGUGCUAAUCUGCGAUAAGCGUCGGUAAGGUGAUAUGAACCGUUAUAACCGGCGAUUUCCGAAUGGGGAAACCCAGUGUGAUUCGUCACACUAUCAUUAACUGAAUCCAUAGGUUAAUGAGGCGAACCGGGGGAACUGAAACAUCUAAGUACCCCGAGGAAAAGAAAUCAACCGAGAUUCCCCCAGUAGCGGCGAGCGAACGGGGAGCAGCCCAGAGCCUGAAUCAGUGUGUGUGUUAGUGGAAGCGUCUGGAAAGGCGUGCGAUACAGGGUAACAGCCCCGUACACAAAAAUGCACAUACUGUGAGCUCGAUGAGUAGGGCGGGACACGUGGUAUCCUGUCUGAAUAUGGGGGGACCAUCCUCCAAGGCUAAAUACUCCUGACUGACCGAUAGUGAACCAGUACCGUGAGGGAAAGGCGAAAAGAACCCCGGCGAGGGGAGUGAAAAAGAACCUGAAACCGUGUACGUACAAGCAGUGGGAGC
rnacentral:rRNA from 1 species